rnacentral:ribozyme from 1 species
UGCCCAGCAACUCCUAUCCCUAACACCUCGUGGUACCGACCUCGGUGGGAACUUUGGUCGUUGGCUGACAGGGAAGG